rnacentral:rRNA from 1 species
CCGCAUAGCUAUUACAACAGCCACCGUUUACUUGAAUAUAGUUAUCCUACUUGGAUAACUGUGGCAAUUCUAGAGCUAAUACAUGCAAAAAAGCUGCGCCCGCAAGGAACGAGCGCAUUUAUUAGAAUAAAAACCAAUCGGGUUUCGGCCCGUAAUUUGGUGAAUCUGAAUAACUUUGCCAAUCGCACAGUCCUAGUACUGGCGAUGUAUCUUUCAAGUGUCUGCCUUAUCAACUUUCGAUGGUAGGUUAUACGCCUACCAUGGUAGUAACGGGUAACGGAGAAUAAGGGUUCGACUCCGGAGAGGGAGCCUGAGAAACGGCUACCACAUCCAAGGAAGGCAGCAGGCGCGCAAAUUACCCACUUCCAGAACGGAGAGGUAGUGACGAAAAAUAACGAGACAGUCCUCUUCGAGGUCUGUCAUCGGAAUGGGUACAAUUUAAA